GACGUAGGGCGCGAGCGUUUGUCCGGAUUUAUUGGGCGUAAAGAGCUCGUAGGCGGCUUGUCGCGUCAACUGUGAAAACCCGUGGCUCAACCAUGUGGUCUGCAGUCGAUACGGGCAGGCUAGAAUUCGGUAGGGAGACGUGGAAUUCCUGGUGUAGCGGUGAAAUGCGCAGAUAUCAGGAGGAACACCGGUGGCGAAGGCGGGUCUCUGGGCCGAUAUUGACGCUGAGGAGCGAAAGCCGUGGGGAGCGAACAGGA
rnacentral:rRNA from 1 species